ensembl:lncRNA
AGACUAAAUCCCAACGGGAGGGAGAAAUUGAAGCUACCGGGGAAAGAGUCCAAGUGAGAAAACUGCAAAAGAAAGUGAGUGGGCGGAGAUCGGUGAUUAGCUGUUAACAGAGAAAAAGGGUGUCGGACACGAGCACUCGGCAGGGAGGCGUUGGCAUAUCAUUUCCUCGCGGAUCAGGUCUGGUGCCCGAGACGAGCGUUCCGCGUGUUGUCAAAGGCGCUUGACAUAUUGUUUCGGCAGCGGCAGCGGCGUAGACACGGGCCUGCAUUCGGCGGAGCCAAAUUAAAGGUCAUUUUGAGAAAGUGAAAAUUAAUGUGAGCUAUCAAUUCCGACUUAAAAAAAAAAAAAACAGAGGGAAAGAGAGCAGAGAGUGACAUAUUUGAGCGUGACACAUUUUAAUUAGGCCAUCAAUAGUGUGGCAACGGCGGCUAAUGGCACAGAAGACGCGGCCGGGGUAAGUUGCCUUCAGUUUAACCGCUGUGGACGCACUCAAAUGACGUCUCAACCGCCGUGUUGACACAAACCGGCUCCUCAGACUUUCCGCCAAAUUAAUUCACGCUGUCAUUAUGUGCCCUUGGUAAAAAAAAAAAAGAAAAACACCCUGCUUAUUAAUACACCUACAGCACAUCUGGUAAAAAAUAUAGAAACAGCUCACUACUGACUUUCAAUGUAAUCUGCAGGCUUUUGAUUUCAAUUUUAUAAAAGAGAAAUUGGGCAAUCUGCAUGUCGGAUACCGUACGAGGUUAAUUGCGCUUUUCUCUUCUUCUAGAAAAGCAAAACAAUCUGGCCCCCGAAGAUUUGGGGUUUCCGAAAGCAAGGAACCUUCUUCAUUAGCGACACACUCUUUAAACUGUUCCUGCUCGAGCCCCCCCCCCCCCUCUCCACGUCUCCCUCCCCCCUCUGCCCAGAGAAUAAAUAAGAUAAGGGAGAGCAAUGAACACAUCCAUCAUUCAAAGUGGAAAAGGGUAAUUUAGCUUGGCCCUCCUGACAGCUUUACAACUUUGCACGCUAUUCUAUUUUAAUUGGCAAUCAUGAAUUAACCGAAUGAAAGCCCCGUUCACUGCCGAUGUCUUUCUCAUUGCAGCUUUUAAUUGGGUUGACUUGAUGAGUUCCUGAGAUAAAACCAGACAAUAUAUUCUAGUGAUUGGCAACUCGUUUGUUGCCAUGCAAUUAGGCCGCGGACGAACCAAGAGCGCGACCGCUUCCUCCUCGGGCCGCAUCCUCUCAUCCGCCGAGGAGCGAUUCGGACGGGCCGUCACCUUGGCGCCGUGAGAUCAUCGAUUGUCCAGCGGAGGUUUCCCCCGCUGCUCUGACCGGGCGGUCACGCGUGUUCGCCCAGCCGAGCGUGAUCGCGGUUUUCACAGGAAAAGGGAAUAAUCGAAUGCCGCAAUGAUACGAUUUGAAUAAAAUGUAAGUCCGCUCCGAAAGCUGCUGAUUCUGAUGAUUAAAACAACCCCCGAGGCUCCUCAGACUCACCCUACACUUUUACAUAUAAGGUCAAAUGUUCAAAGCUUUGCUCCAUUCUCCCUCCAUUUUAGAAAGAAGGGGGGGGGGAAACGGAAUUAAACUUUAAUGGGCUGAUGAAUAAAUAUUUUGUGUCUCCAGGACUCAGCACUUUCUCCCAUUCCUACAGCCGGCUUAAUUAACUCUUCCUCGAGCCUUUUUGUAAAUUAACACUUCUCUUUCAGUGUCCUUCGACAUUGUUUUUCUUUUUUUCUACUUUUUUACCCAAGUCAAAAUUUAUUAGACAGCUUUUCGUGCAGCGGCGAUGCAUAAUUAUCCAACUUCAUAGUUUCUGUUUUUAACCUUACGGUGCAGCUUUUUCACUUCAGAUGUAAGUCACAUUGGCUGCUUGAGGCUACAGCUCACUUAGGGUGUUUUCGUAUUCGCCAAAUACCACGCAAACCGCUUUCAUUUCUGCUAUUCAAGUUUGUUGAGCGGCACCGAGGAGCCUCUUUUGGUGGCUGGAUGAACCAUCCGCCUGAGUGAAGAGGCUUCUGCAGCGUCCUGUAGCCUUCACACGAAUGAAGUCAUACUCUCCACGUCUGCUGUAUGAGGUUCUGGUGAUUGUUUUAAAUGUCAUAACACGGGCAGCGCUGCCAAUACCGACUGAGUGAUUCAUUCAGCAGCGUUCUAGUGGAAGCGGUUUAGUGCCUCUGAAAGCUGAUCUUAUCACAUUUGAUAUGAGAGAGAAGCUCCCCGCAGAACACAGCCUACUUUUCAUUGUGAUCAUCGUAUCACGAUGAUCAGGUCAGCUUUUUGUAAAAUAGAGACACACAUUGACGGGACGGCUGGAGGAGACUGAUUAACUUCUAUUGUGUCCCUGAAAGCUCUACCUGAUGCCCCCUUUCAAAAGAAUUAACCUAAAUGAAAAUGAAAGCAGAAGUGGGAGGAAUAAUGUCCUCUGGAGAUGAAUCUGCAUGUGAUCAGCUGAUUUAGAGGUACCGCAACGGGCCGGGACAAACCGACAGUGUUCUUUACGCACACAAGUACCUCAAUGUAUCUCACAUUCGCAGAAUUAGACGUCUUUGAGACAUAUUUUAAGAACAUCGCAGGUUGGGUUGUAGCAGAUUGACACAUCGUCCAAACCCUUCCGCUCGGGCCACACAAAUGUCGGCGCCCUCCAAGCCGAAUGUCGCUUUCGUACAAUCCAACCGGGGAAGCAAAAGGGAGACGUCCCGCCCAGAAUUGAACCGAACCGACCGUCCCGUUGUCGUCUCUGUUGACUUUGUCUUGAUAUUCCCUGCCGGGUGCGUCUCCUCCUCCCCGGGCCUGUGCUGUUCGUCCUCCGCGUUGGCCCACGCUUCGCCCCGCUCAUUCCGCCCUGUCACAUCUGCCGGCAAAUGAUAAAUGUGAAGUCGCUCCAUCAGAGGAUCAUUAAAUGUUCUGCCGUGACAGCGGAACGUCGUGGCAGAAAGUCGAUGCGGCGGGGGGAGGGGAGAGGGCGAGGGGGGGGAGGAGAGGAAUGGCCUGGUGGAAAAGCCCGCUGGGAACGAUCAAUGGAUCAUCUAACACCCACAUGCCUGCUCCUGAACCAGGCAGCACCACUCCACACACCACUCACACGCUCCCCGCCUGGCAAUGAGGUGGUCCAGCUGCUCGGGGAAGGAGUUCGCACAGUCGGAUGCAACCACUUGUGGCGAGUUGUUGAUGUGUCACGCGUAAGGGUCGGCGGGGCAGAGGCAGCAAAGUCCACUUUGCACGCUCUCCUGCUCCUGUGCCGCCUUCCCGGGAAUGAGAUGUCUGGACGUCUCGGGCGGCCGAAGAGAAGAAGUGGCCCUCGAAAGAAAGAGGAAACCACAGAGCAAAGCCAUUCUGUGUGAAGUUUAUCGUGAGCAGGGUCAGGGAUGUUUGUACUGGUCCUUCAGCAGAGCGUUCAUUAUCAAAUGACAGGGUUGAUUCUUGUGUUUAAUCUGGACCUUCAUCAACAUCCCCAAAUGCCACCAAAAUAGACUCCUGUUUCCUGGAUAAUUGAAAAGCUCGGUUGCGCCUCAGGUCAUAAAACUUCGGUCGUCACCCGCCACCAUUUAUUCUACCUGAUCACUUCGGUGAAUGUGGUGAAAGUCAGGAGGCUCAUCGCGAUGCUUCUGUCACCCGCAAAACGAUGCGUUUGAUUAUUCCUUUUAACAAGCGGUUGUGAGGUUUAGUGGCCCGGCGUGGCGGUUAACUUUCCGCGGGCACGAGGGUAAUUCCCGGCGCUCCCCUUUCUUUGCACAGAUGUAUUACUGCUGUAAAACACACUCACAUCCAUGGACUCAUAUUCGCGUUUCAACGGCGACGUUAAAAAUGUCUUAUCGGUUGAUAUGUUCGUGCGGGUUGUUUUUAUCUCCUCCGUCAUGCUCCUGUAGUCGAUGCGGCGGGACGGUGAAGAAAAGAAAAGAUAAAGGAACAGAAUUGCAAUAUUUGAAAAAAGCGCUUAUUGGGUUUCUUGCUGUCGGGUGGAAGAGAAGAUUGAUAACAUGUUUGCAUGGUAAAUACGACGCUAAAGCUAGCAGCUAGUUAGCUUAAGAGAUAUCCACUUUGUCAGCUAACUUUAACAUUAAUUCAUUUCCCAAACGUAACCAACCUGUAAGGCUCCGUGUGUUUGAAGAGAUGGGACGCGUAGACAGAUUAUAAACUCUCAGGGAUUCAAGCAACCGACGUUUCUCUCCCCCAGCAGCGCUUGUCAUCGUUGUUGCCAUGGAGUCGCACAAUGGACGCGGAAGACAAUGUUCAUUGAAAAUAGCGGCGGUAUUUAUUUUGAAACGCGCGGUAACAGUCCAGCCUGUCGAAACAGCUUCGCCUCGAGCAGCGCACGCAGUCAGAAAAGGCCGAGGAACAAUAGGGAUUCAUCAAGCAGCAGCAGCGGCAGCCUCCAAAGCCCCGGAAUCGUGACAGAGUUAAAUGAAUUGGUCUAUCAGUGCGACACCUGAGAGACGGUCUUUGGGAGUCUGUCAAGAUAAACUGGUGAGGAUCCUGCGCACGGUGCAUUGCAGCAAGGUCAUGGUCACAUUGCAUCAAACGGGGCGCUGGGAGGAAGAGCUUUUGUUCUCCCGUGUGAAGUCACAUUUGCCAGAGGUAACAAUUAAGACUCAUCUGUCAGCCCGCGCUAAUGCGUUCAUUCCGGCUUCCACACUGGAAGACUUCACUUGCUCAUUUGCAGUUUCGUGGCCAUCAUUAGAGUCCGAGGUGUUCCAGGCAAAGUGUUGCUCCCAGAUUGCAGCAAAGUCUGUCGUUCUGGGCUGAUUUCAAACAGCUGCAAUGUUGUUCGGGGGGCGCGCUCCCUUUGAAGUUAGAACUUCUCCCCCCCCCCCGAGCUUCAAAUGAUCAUCCGGUUAAAGGUGCAUUUUGGUGUCACGCGAGUUUGGCACCAACCAAUCUCCCAGACCGACCGCUCGCUGUCCCUGGGUCGCCCACUGUGUUACGCUGAGCUUUAUCAGAUGUGACAGCCGGGGCCCAAUAAAGUGGAGGUCUUUAACAAGUGUUCUUUUAGUUGAAUUUCUGCAGAGGGCGAAUGGAAGAUUCUAUCUCCCCAUCUUGAGGCAAUUUCCUUCUCAGAUUCCAGCGUUGUGUGAUGUUUUAUCACAGCUGAAGGUCAAAGUUGGCCCGUCGCAAAGUCAACUCCUGGAAUCAUUUUAAAGUUUAACUGUGAUAAAAUGGCCGCCCCGUGUGAACUAAAUGCUGACGCAAUUGUCUCACAAGUCAAGGACUAUAACAGCGGCGUGCACUCGAAUGAGACGGCGCUGUCUGGAAGUAACAGGCUGCGAUCCCAGCAGGGUCCGCGGGAGAGUGUGCCGGGCGAGAUAAACGCCAGGCGACAUUGUUCAGUCUUGAUCCCGAUGCGGCGCUCUGCCUCUGCUCGCACAUUCGCCACGUGGAAAAUCCAGCCCUCGUCCAUUGUCCUCUCGCCCCCGCAAAGAGAUCCAAGCAUUCUCCCUUCACCCCCCCAUCUGAAGAUUGCACUUAGGCAGUUUCCCUGCCCCGCCCGUCCUCCCCUCCCCGGCCUCCUCUCUUUCAAACUCUUUCAUUUCACAAACAUCUGUUGGCAAAAGGAAAUCCCUAAUCUCCCACGGGGCUUUCUUUCAAAUUCCAUUAUUGAGACUGAAUGCAGAUUUGGGUUACUGCUGAUGCUGCCGUGGUUUUUUUUUUUUUUUUUUUUCAUUCUUCACUCCAUUUUAAUGGAUUUAUGAAAAAUAAUAAUCUAAUGCCCACCAUACACUAAAUUACUAAGGCCUCGAUUCUGCAGCUGCAAGCGCAUUUUGAUGGCUACCGUGAUAACGUCACUUGAUUCCUGUCUGCUCAAGCCGCCGGUUGGCAGCCGCUCUUUUUAUGUGAAGGUAAUUCAUGUGCUCGAUAAGAACAAAGAGUAGUUUUUAUUUUUUUGUUUUUUUUUGCAGAGAAAGGGAAGAAAAGAGCAAAAUUACUCCCAUCCAAACCCUAGAGGUGAAACCAAACCCGGGUGCAGAUUAGCUCAGCUUGGCAUAAAGACAGAGGGGGGGGGGGGGGGGGGACACAUCCGGUGACCACGAUGUGCCGUAUAUUUCCGAAAGAAGCCGACUUCCCAAAACGUUGAGCUGCUCCUCAAAGAGAAACAGCUGUUUGUCUUUUCACUCCUUGACUGCAGCAUCUGUCAAGAAAAGAAACUCGUACCUUUCUUCACACAUUUCUCAUGGAAGAGGACAAAGAAUCCGUCAUUACGGAAGAAAAUAACCCCGGGUUUAUGCAACUUGAGAAAACUAACUUUCUUUGCUUAAAUGAAACGUUACAGUAAAAAACUCAACAGUUCAAGGACGGCAAGGAAGACAUUGAAUUGACAUUCGAUGCUGAAAAAUGAAAUAAAACGAUGAUUCAAACUUAAAUCAUAUUAAAGCAGCGCUAUUUCGCACCUGUAUUAGUAGUUUCAAACCCUUUCAGUCAAAGGCAAAGCCCUCUAUCAUAACUUGUAUCUUUUCAUUCAUUUUUGAAGGAAUCCGCUCAAGGUUUUUCAUCUUGAUGAAAUUGCAGCUUUAAAUAUUUCUGGUUUUACUAUUCCAUCAUUCCUGAGGUAGUUAUUCACAUUAUUGUACUCCCCAGACAAUAUGAAAGACACAUUUCAAUGUUUAAAUUGACUUAUAUAUCCUCUUAAAUCCUUUCUAGACUUUCUAUUUCAAAAUAAAGUAAAUGGACUGUACUUGUAUAGCGCUUUUCUAGUCUUCCAACCAGUCAAAGCGCUUUAACACUACAUGACAUCAUUCACCCAUUCACACCCUGAUGACAGGAGAACCACACACUGUGACACCUACCCAUCAUUAACUAACACUGAUACACUGUAGUCGCAGCUACAGGAAGGAUUUUGGGUUAAGUGUCUUGCCCAAGGACACGUCGACAUGCGGGUUAGCGGGGCCUGGGAUCAAACCGACAACCCUCUGAUUGGAGGACGAGCGUGCUCCCCACUCACCCACAGUCGCCCACAGUGAAAGCCUCACGGCUGCCUCUCUCCUCGGCUGCAACAGGGAACCCUGCAGAACCGUGCAGAACCUUUGGAACCCGACAAAGCUCCGUCCCGCCUCCCAAACCGAGGAACCGGGAGCACGGUCACAGAAUAGAGACUCUGGAGGGAUGAAGUCCAAAUAGAGACAUUUUGAGUAGAGCAACUUACUACAACUACUGCAUUGAAAUAUGGUUUAUUUACUGCAUUUAUUUAUUUUUCCACUUUUGCACAACAAAAUGAAGGAAAUGUGUUUCUGUCGAUCUAAAGCUUAGAAAUAAAACAUUCCAUGUGCCAGAAUGUUUGAAUACGUUGAAGCCGUUUCCUCCCAAAACCACACCAGAGGAAAUAAUUGAUGGAAAGAUUGGAAAUAUCUGAAAAAACGUCCCACUUUGACAUCACAGAGCUUCGAGAAACAUGCUGAUGCUAUUUGUGUUCUGUAGGAUGAUUGAGGAAAAUAACAAACAAGUUUGCUGUUGCAUAUUUUUGGUGGAUUCGCUCAUCUUCCAGCUUUGGACUCAUCUCCAAUGCAAUGAGCACAUUCCAAGAACGUAGUCCGCUCAUGCCAAGAUGCUCACACUUCAGAUUCUAAUAUCAGAAUGAAUUUGCCUCUUUCAUGUGUCAGGAUCCAUUGUGCCAUCUGCUAAUGACUGACAGUGGCAGCAGCGGCAGCGUUCUCUCCCACACAGAAGAUAGCAAUAAAAACGAAGCCUGACAACUGCAGCAGCGGGUGGAAAACCGCACAGCGCGUUAUUAGGUGAAGUCCAACCGGACGAGUUGUGCCUCCGAGGUGCUUUUCCCAUCUAUAAUACAACAGACGCAGUGAGAGAGGGUUUUUUAUUUGAAGCUCCCGACAACCCGAGGAAGAUGCCGGCCAUUUAGAAGAUUUGCGGUGGGUAAGUUGGCCCGGAGUCCCGGGACGGGGAGGGAGCGAUCCCUCUGAGGGACGCACAGAGAGAUCCCGGGACGGCGUGGACACACAGAAAGUAGAUGAGCUGCUGACUUUGCGGGGCCACGAGAUGCUCAGUGAGGAAGAACAUUGUUUCCACCUCAUGUCAGACAUUUAGUAUUCAUGGAGACUCUUAGCAUCAGCUCGGUGACUCAAGUUUUUAAAUAUUUGCAAUAAUAUUGCAGUAGUUGUGGAAUGCAAAGACUGAUAAUAACACAUCAUCAAUACGUAAUACUUUUUCAUCUCUCAAUUACCAUAUAUUUUACAGUGUAAUUAAGCCUAAUUAGUGUUUUAUUGCUAUCGCCAAUGAUCCUUUGGUACCAAUUUCCAUUCAUAUUAGUUCAUUGAACAUCAUUAUCAUUAUCAGUUUAGCAGCAAGCAUUCACUGGUAUUAACUAUACAUCAUGUGUUCGUAAACACAAUUGAGCUCAAAAGGCCACAUUCAGAAUCCAGGAGUCCAGGAUACAAAGAACAACACACUUUGGCUCAAAAGAAAAAGAAACACAGCGAUACGCACACACACACACACACACACACACACACAAAUAGUAACUUGUAAUUAUCGGCUGUGUAGCCGUCAGCGGCGGCACCGUGCAGCUACUCAGCACAGGCCCGAACACAAUGGAGAGGGAGUUUACUGUAUUCUUGUGAGCAGCAGACCUCAUUACACAGUGCCACGCUGCUGAUGUAAUGCCUGUCACCGGGGAGCAGGGUGGGUGGGCGGGCGGGGGGGCUGUGCUCGCGUCGAUAGUCAAUGCGCCGGUCGCCUCGAACGACGGCCCGCUGCAUCGACUCACGCUACGCGUGUCUCGCGGUCAGCCAACGUGGACCGUCGGGGUAAUUGGUGGCCCCGGCUGGGUGUCCGAUCCGGACCCACGGACAGCGGCCAAGAAAGGGGCCAUAACGCGGAGUAAUUGCUUGUGGUUUUAAAUUGGCUCCCGAUAGAGUGCGGCCAAAGUCAUCUCCACGGUGUCUCCACCCACCCGCAGAUUCUCCCCCGUAAAGGAGAAGAGAAAAGAAACGCACUUUGGAGUGAAAAUGUGAAACAAAAGCACGGUUAAAAGAUGGAGGCGUUGGUCUCCUGGGGGGGCGGCGGGGCGCGGGGCCCGGGACAGGGGUGAGGCAGCCGAGCAGUUUAACCCCUCUCCAAUUAGCAGCGCCACGGACCAGCACUGCAGUACACCAGUACGCGUCCCUCAACCCUCAUUAUUCCACCGACUAAUUUUCUGACAUAGCUCGCAGUCCCUCCCCGGAUGUAACGAGGCUGUUAAUUACCGCCGCGGCGCCGCCGACGAGCGGUGUGAAGGACGGAGGAGCGAGCGAGGGCGGGAUGGAGGACUCUCGUUUUUUAGCGAAUCCUGUGGUACGAUAAAAAUGUAUCACCCAAACCCCACCGAGGGGACCUGGGUAUGCUAAUCAGGGCCGCGUUGCCCAAAAUAAGAGCACGCAACUUCCACGAUAUCUCUCGUUCUACAUUAAUGAUCAUUGGGGAGAGCGUUUCAUCCCAAAGCCGGGAAAUGUGUUUCUUAUUGUUAAGCGAACUCCUCGCAUGACAUCAAAGUGGGCCCGAAGAACGCGGCGCGGUGACUCACGGAGACAUCCCGAACCUCCCGUCUUGUGAUUCCAUCAAGGUGACAUUGCAGGAGAAGAAUAGAUGCCACCUCCAACUGUCCUUUGUGACAGCGGCUGGUGAUCCGAGCGCUCUUCUUGUGUGCAGCUGUGAUGUACCAGAGCACCGCUGAGAGGCAGAACACGGCCCCUUUCAUUAUUCAAAUCAUGGGAAGCAGUGGACAGAGUAAGAGGGCAGGGCGAAGGGAUGUCGGGCCCAAAGUUACUGAAAAGCUCAUGAAAUAGAAAACACCACGAAGAGCCCUCUUUUCCCACGCGUUCUGCCUCACAUCCCCACUUUGUAAAAGUGCCAAGUGCAGCUAUUCUAGAUCCACCUAAUAGACCAUAACUCUAACGCAAUUAAGGGCAACUUAAAUGGGGAGCACUUUUCUGAUAAGUGCAUUGUUAUGGGGUUGUUACGGGAUUUUAUUGUAUUAUUAUAACAAGGCAAGUGAAAAUAGCUGCGCUGGAGAAGGUUAAGCCAUUAUUUUUUAAUUACAAAGGUCAUAAAAAUAUCCAGAUAACAAAAUGACUUGAAGUACAUGAAGAAAUGACCGGCAUUCCAUCCUGGGAUCUGCAGCACUGUCCACUACUCACAGUCAUUAUUUUUUAUUUUCUUAAUAAAAAGGAAAAUAAACAUUGUGGUCAUAACUUCUGUAUCUGUAUGAAAAUACGACCUGUGUAGGACAUCACAGUCAUGGUGCGUUUCCUCUCUUUUCCUUUAAUCUCUUGUUCUGUUUUCUCGCAUUAUGAAUCCGAAAGGAUAUUUCUGGCAUCACAGUUUAAUUAUUUCCUAUUCUCUCUGGUGCAGUUGUGUGUAGAAUAACUUGCUAAUGAUAUAUGACAGUACUACGCUUUGGAGAGAAUAUAUAAGCCUGCAACCAUAUAAAUCCACUGUGCUGUAUUUUAAGCUCCUUAUUAAUGAUGUUGUUAGCGACCUGCGAUGCCGGGAUCUGACUAUACGAUAUUUCUGUGUUUGGGAGAAGAUCACUGUGUCAGAUUAAGCUAUUUAAAAGUCAUAAAUUGUUGCAGUAACUUUCCCAAUAAACCUGGGAGUCUAUUCCUUGGAUCACAACAUAUAUUGUAUCUUGCAAUCUUCCUGACUGGGACCGACUAGUUUCAAUGGAGGCGGAGUGCAUGUAAGGUCCCUCUUCUAAUUUUUUAGGGAAAAAAUGAAAUAAAAAAAUCUGCGCUGCGCAAAGAAUGGGAAAACUGGGGCUUCUCAACACUACUACAUUGUGUGUUAUAGCCUGAGCUGACACGGUACUGCUAACACAUAGCGCCGCUUUGUGCCAGUGUGCGCGGAGGCCUGGCGGCUUGCCAAGCUAACGAAGCUAACAAAGCUAACAUCAACAAGAGUGCAAACAGCAGCAACAGUGCCGACGGCUCCAGGAUUGUUGGCCUAGGGUGGAGUUGGACGGCCGAGUUGCCAAGGUUCCUGCGGCAGUGCAGUGGGUGGCUACGUCGUUAUCAAGGGUUAACCUCCCCAUUAGCGCAGUGCGCGGUAUUAGCUCGCCGCACGCGGGGGCCGCCGACCGGGUCGCACAAACAAAGCAUAGAAAAGUGUUAGAAAGCAAGUAGCUGAGGAGGUUUUGGCCGUCAAGAAGGAAGCCGUGCGAGACUCCGUUGGGGGCUCCGGUCCAAGCCGGGAACACGCAGAAGACCGGCCCUCUGAUUAAAUGGAUGCUUUAUUUAUGCUUUAAUAUUCAAGCCAUGCGUGUCGCAAAAAAAAUAAUAAUAAAAGGGUUGCUAUGAAUUCUUAGAAACAGGUAAUGUAAGAAAGAAAAAAACCUGUCUUUGUUUUGAUGAAUAUGGGAGAAUCCAUUUGAGAUUCGUUCAAAGCUCGAGGCAGCGGUAAAGGAUUGACAAGUGUCUCAGAGGUAUAUAACACACAAUAUCUGCUUUAAAUGGGUCAGCCUUGAAGCAGAUUUAUUGCAAUGUCAGUAAGACUUGUUGAACAGAAACUAUGUACCUAUAAAAGCUUUUAUUCUCACAAGGUGCAAAGGGUUCACAAGGUCAUUGUCUCUGCUGAACAAAGAGCGCUCAGUAGCUCCAGAGCUCCUCACCCUCCUCCCCAGAAUUACUAUUCAGUCUGGACCGUACGGGUUCUUCCCUGCAGCCUGACCGGCGCCCCGGCCCGGUUGGCCUCUGGUGGAACCGCAUGAUCUAACACGUCUACGCAGCACAUCGCAACUCGGCGGCAAAGAUAACAGGCAUUAAGAGGAACUGUAAAGAAAUUGCAAAUCUUCUUCCCGAGGGUCUUUUUUUCUUAUAUGGGUCACGCAGAGGCAGCGAAGACCGUCACCAAAUAAAAGUUCCUCACCGCGGCGUUAAGCGUCUGGCCUCCAACAACCCAAAGGCCACAGCGCCUCGGCCUGAUUACCAUGCUAAAGCUUUGCGCCGCAGCAGUUGGGAUUGCCCCAUGAUUUCAUAAUAUAUUGUUUUCACGGUCUCGCUAGCGGAGCUGUUGAAAUUAUACAUUCAUUAAGCCAACUGCCCAUUACGGCCGGCCCGCGCAUGUAAAGGUUUUGAAGGCUAAUAUGGAUGUGAAGAAGGAAAAGGCUGUAAAUGAACAAGUGGGUGUGUGAGCAAUAGAAAGGGUGAGCUCGCGGUGGCAAGGUUACCUGUUUCCAAUAUCUAUGAGAGGCCCGUCCAUUUAUGUGAUAUUGAGUUUUCACCGCGAGGCCCAUUUGGGUCCCGUUCCACCGCUCAUUUCGUCUGAUUUAGUGGGCUGCGCGUGUGCUAUGGCAUCUAUUCAUCUGUGUUUAACAUCUCCAGGGCCACGGGUUCACCUGCCUCCCCAUGUUCCCACUGGAGCUUAUUAAGCGCCGCCGCUAACGGGAGCACUCCCAGUUAAUUACAUAAAUGGAUAUGUACACGCCAAAAUGUAGCACAUCCUGGUUUUAUCUCCUAAAUCAUUUCACAUAAAUCUGACUCGAUGUCCCCCGAGCAAUGGCUCCCAACGAUGAUUGCAUAGUUCACUGGCGCUUCUUCCAGGAUAUUUUCUCGGAUUUGACUCCUGUUUGCGCCUCGCGACGGAACGUUGUCUCGAGGCCGAUUCUACCUCUUCUUCACCCUCCAGAUUGGUAGAAACAAUGUCUCUCUCUGUUAUUUAUGCCGUCAUAUCUUUGACUCGGAUGACAAAUACAUCUUGAGUAUAUUGUGCAGAUGAAUCAAUGUAAAUUAAGUCUGAGGGGAAUUAGGUUGAUCUACUUUGGAGAUAAGUUGAUUUAACAUGCCUUUAAACUACGCCGUGCAAAUGAAGGCUUAGAUAAAAACCAACAUUUUACAGACUUGAGAGAGGUUCUCACCUGAAGCAGGCGACAUCAUACAGCAGUUUAUUGUGUUGGAAGAGUCGCGUGUUCAUCUGCUUACCGCUGCAUUUGGAUAAAUAUCUACAGGGACGCAUUUAAAGCCCAUAACAGCAUGCAAAGUGACCAAUAGUGAGACAGCUAUUAAUAUUUUCUUUUAUGUUUAGGAAAAUUAAACUCCCACUUCUCUUCCACCCUCAUGUAAUUAAAUCCAAAACCCAACGUAACAAUCAAAAUGAUUAUAAAUAUUCUGACAAAAGCCUUUGAUGCUUAAUAACUUAUGUAUAAAUAGAAGUCACAGGAGAUGGCAUUGUGAAGCAACUUCUCUAAUUUCACCAAAAGUUGCAUUUGCUUUCGAGGUAGAAGACAAAGAGGAAGCUAAAAAUAUCUGCAUUUGAUGUUAAUGCCAAAGGAAAUACGUGCGGUUUUUAAGAAAAUACUGUUUCUGAUUGUGUCAACAUCCUUCCUGAGAGCUUUAAAUUUCCAGACAAAAAGACAGAUGGUUGAAUUUGAGGGGUUUUGUUUGACAUGCUUGAUCAUUUUCACUAAUUCAAAGCAAACAGAAACACAGGUUCCCAAACGCCUUCUUUUUUUUAACACUUCACAACCUUUAAUUGGCAGACUGCUGGGCAUGUGCUUUUCAAAGUUCACUUUUUCUAACCUUGUAGGCAAAAAUCAAUAAUUUCCCUUCAGCCCAGAGGUGCUUAACACGUACUGCACCUCUCCGCAAUCAGCAGCUGCAUCCUAAAGCAUCAUAAACUCCCCCUCCAAAACAAAAGAACAAAAAUAAGUCCACGUAAAUUACUCGAACCCUUUGCACUUGACAAGCGGCCAAGGUUGAGCCCCAAAGCAGCGCCGACUGAGUGGGUGGGAGGAGCAAAGACACAAAAAACAAGCCCCGCUGUUUGUGAACAGGGAUUCAUGGCAGAACUUGUGCGUAAGUUAGUUAGAGUCCAUGUUCAAGGUUCUUCUUUCUUUUCUUAAACGGCAGGAGAGAAAAAACAUGAAGGUGAGGAAGACGUUGGACUGCUGCCUUCCUCAAGCAGGACACCCGGGCUCUCCGCUGUGGGCCGCACCAUCAAUCUAAUAUUAAUCCAACAAUAAUAUUAAAAAGAACCAGCCCGGGUGUAAUAUCACCUGGCGCCACCAUUCAUCUCAUCAAGUGAGUUCAGUGACGGGUGCAGAGAGUUAAGUACAGUUCACGAGGGGGGAGAACAAAGAGCGACAAGUGAUGUGUGUGGGUUCAAAUACAACACACACACACACACACACACACACAAACACAGCAAAAGGUAAGCAAAAAUAGCCGCCUUCGCAAAGAGCUGCUAUUCAAUAUUCAGAGUUACUUGAUGAUUUCCACCUCAAAGAGCGCAUCUAUCUAUUAUUUCAUACGCUGGGAGGAAGGCGAAUUGAGCCCACACAUGCAUGUGGCCGCGCUCAGAACAACACAAGCUUGAGACGUAUUAUUAGUGAUCAGGGGUGGAAAUGCAUGCAAGAAGCACUUUCUUCAACUCAGAUGGCCCCCGAAGGAACAAAGGAGACAUCUCAAUCCUUGAUGUAUAGAUUUCCUCUCGUCUUCGUCUCACAUACCUGAUGUCUUCCUUUGUAAUUGUAAGACAGUUGUUGCCAAAGGAAACCAGUGAUCCACUUAAGCCCCGGAGACGUUCCGUAUAAUUCCGUCAUCUGUUCAUGAGCCCCGAUCUCAGCGUGAAGGGAUUGUCAGAAUGGAAAUAAUACUAAUAAGGACAAUGACGUUGAAGGUCAAACCGCCCGAAAACAACCUGAAGUUCUUCACUCAAUGUCACGAAUGUCAAAUCGUUAAGUACCGAUCGAUGGCUUCAUAUGAAAGUGACUUCCACAGGUUGUCUUUCAAAAGGUCACCUGGAUCGGCGUCUUCGCGGAUACGCUGGAUUUUCUCACAUCUGCCGAAAAAAAACAAAAGCCCCCAAAUCCUCUCCUGAUCAGGGCUUCAUAAGGCUGAUAUAUAGAAGAAAAUGUUCCCCCGACAGAGAGUGGCCUGUUUAUAGUCCGUCGUCUUUGUUCAGACUUCGGGGUUUUGGGAGGCUUGGCAUUUGCAGUUAACACCUGACGGAAUCUAAUUAACAAGGGACGGGAGUAUUUAAUCACGUCUUACGAGUUUGCAGUGCACCCUGUACUUCAUUUAUUAAAAGUAUGAUUGACUUUAAAUAAAGCCAUCAUUCACUGUCGUGGCUCUGGCAUUCUGUGCACACUGAAGGUCUAAUCUUAUUGAGUGAAGACUUUUCACAGUGAGCCUUUACUGUCGGGAUUUGCUAAAAAACUAAAGGAAAACUGCAAAAGCCGUGUUUACCAGUUAUUAAGAUAACUAAGUAUUAAGGUAACUACGUAUUGCAUUAAGAUAUCUAAGUAUUGCAUUAAGAUAACUAAGUAUUGCAUUAAGGUAACUAAGUAUUGCAUUAAGAUAACUAUGUAUUGCAUUAAGGUAUCUAAGUAUUGCAUUAAGAUAACUAAGUAUUGCAUUAAGGUAACUAAGUAUUGCAUUAAGAUAACUAAGUAUUGCAUUAAGGUAACUAAGUAUUGCAUUAAGAUAUCUAAGUAUUGCAUUAAGAUAACUAAGUAUUGCAUUAAGAUAACUAAGUAUUGCAUUAAGAUAACUAAGUAUUGCAUUAAGGUAUCUAAGUAUUGCAUUAAGAUAACUAAGUAUUGCAUUAAGAUAACUAAGUAUUGCAUUAAGAUAACUAAGUAUUGUAUUAAGGUAACGAAGUAUUACAUUAAGAUAACUAAAUAUUGCAUUUAGGUGUCUAAGUCUUACAUUUAAGUAAGAUUAAGGCGAUUAAAUUGAAUAUUAUUGCUGGGAAUCUUGGCUCACAGUGAGGUUGGCCUGUUCAUAAGCGUUAGCCUGGGAGGGUUGUCAUCACCCGUCUCAACCAAUCAGAGCACAGGGGGCGGGCCUAAGGCGGCUGCAGCGCUCAGGUGAACGGGCUUUUUAUUACGUUUUCUGGAGUUGAUUGAACCACAGUUAUUUGUAACCACUACUGUCCUGUUUUGAAAUUCUUCAUCCCGACACCUGAAGCUCAUUCUUCACCCUUUGGCGGGGGCCCGACCUCAAAGCUGAGAGCCACAGGACUAAACCCCCCCCACAGUGGUGAUGCAGCUAACUCGCUCCACCUCAGCCAAGUAAAGGAUCGCUGGACUUCAUUUAUCAUGAUCAAACAGUUUAUCUGCAGCAUGACUUUUUACGUAUGUGAAGCAUGUCGUUGCAUUUAAUUACAAAAUUGAGAAGCUACAAUUCCCAGCAGAUUGAGGUAGAUGUAUGCUAUAUGCUGUAUCCAUUCAUUAUAUCAAGUAGGCUGGUGGUGUGAUUAAAUUUGAUUAGUUAGAGUGGCUGCUGAUUUAUUCUCUCCCGUUCUUGUACCAGAUGUCUAAUAAUCGCGGCCGCGUCGGUUCCAGAGCCGCGGUGAUGCAGCCCGGCGCACAAGCACCAGUCUUCUGCUCGGCGAUCCGCUGCAUAGAUGCAUGAUUCACUUCAGGAAUUAGUCUAAUCAUUGCACGCACGCAUCGGAAUCAGACGUGGCAGAGAGCUGACAAGACAUAUACAGUAAGGCUCUUCUCACUGGUGAGCAUGUAGCUCGUACUCAGCAAAUCCGUCAAAUUACAAUUCGUUUUCAAAGCAUUAGGAAUUCUGCUAAUUUGUUCCUGGGAGAUGUGACCAAAUUGUAAUGGAAUGUACUCAACGCGUAGUAAAAACCAUUUGUUGGAUUAGGCCUUUAGUGAACCGAGUGGUAGCGUAACAGGGGGAGCAAGACAAACGCAAUAAAUAAAACAAAACACAUGGUCCUGUGAUUAUUGCGAGUGGCAGCAGAGUUUAGUUGCGUCGAUACACACGGCGUAGAAUAAAUGGUAACAAAACCAACACUCUGGAGGAAAUUAUCAUCAUCAUUUCUGAGCUCAAACUGUGCAAAUGUGUGGUCGAACAAACAAAAGCAAAUUUGUUGCAAAUGCGGCCGGAUGUGGUGCAGUAAUUGCUUAGAAAACAAAGGAAGACAAAAGCUAAUCAAAACAAAUGCCGUGCAUUAGUUACAAGUGCUCGGCGGCCAUGAGGGGAUGUUACAGCCCAAUGACUUCUUCAUUUGAAUUUGAAUAAUGGCAACAGGCCCCCGACAGGGACAAAUCAGGCCACAGUCCGAAAUACGCGGCUUCAACGCUUCCCCGCUACGCUCGUCCUUCAUCAUGAACCAUAAUAAACCCGCAUGGGGCGCCUGCGUGGGCUCAGGGUGUCUCAGCCCACGGGAUGGACUUCUUACCAGAAGCCAUUAGGAACCCAGAGUGAAUGAAUAAAAACUAACAAAACAACAAAACAAAAAAAAAGACUUGAAGCGAAGCGCGUUCUAAGUUCUAAGGGUAAGCGCGGGAGUGACUUUCAGCCCGUUCCUGCUUUAAUCACGGUAAAAAUCAAGCUGAUUAACCGUGUUGGUGGGAGGCCCGUAGAGCGGCGGAUCCCUCUCCCUGCACAGCCCAUUCUUUGAUGUUGUUGUUUUUGCGCGUUGCACCGCCCCGUCAUUUGAAUAUCACACGGAGCGGGGGCUCCUGCUCGGCCACUCGCUGCGCCUUUGUUGCCGUGAUUAAAGCAGGUGUCGCGCAGGGUUGUGUUUGUUAAUGACAGUUUGCAUUUAAAUAGCUGUCACUCGCCUGUCAAAGGGGGGAAGGGGAGGAGGGGAAAGUGUUUGUUUCCGGCCCUCCGGAACGUAUCUCGUUUACAUAUGCUUAACCUAGCUUUGCAAAUGAGCCGGCAAACUUUUGCAGGAGUGUACCUGUGAAGACUUUUCACUGAUCCCGGCAAGUGGGAAAAGUGCAAACUUUUGAAGAAAAAGGAAAAGGGAGGUGAAGUGUGGGGGGGGGCUAACCCAGUUGGAGGUGUUGACUUGUACGUAUUUGUUUACCUGAAUAUAAUUCAUUCAUUGGAAGGUUUUCUUGCACAACGUAGUGAAUGAAACACAUCUGAAAUACAAGGGGGGGGAGAGACUGAAAUGAGGACCACAUUUGGAUU